rnacentral:rRNA from 1 species
UAGUCCACGCUGUAAACGAUGAAGACUAGCCGUUUGUUGUCAUUAAGGCAGUGGGUGGUGGAGCUAACGCAAUAAGUAUUCCGCCUGGGGAGUACGGUCGCAAGACUGAAACUCAAAGGAAUUGACGGGGACCCGCACAAGCAGCGGAGCAUGUGGUUUAAUUCGAAGCAACGCGAAGAACCUUACCAAAUCUUGACAUCCCGAUGACCGAUACUUAAUCGUAUCUUUCACUUCGGUGACAUCGGUGACAGGUGGUGCAUGGUUGUCGUCAGCUCGUGUCGUGAGAUGUUGGGUUAAGUCCCGCAACGAGCGCAACCCUUAUAUUUAGUUGCCAUCAGGUUAAGCUGGGCACUCUAGAUAGACUGCCGUGGACAACACGGAGGAAGGCGGGGAUGACGUCAAAUCAUCAUGCCCCUUAUGAUUUGGGCUACACACGUGCUACAAUGGUUGGUACAACAGGAAGCGAAAGGGUGACCUGGAGCAAAUCCUCCGAAGCCAAUCCC